AGAAGCUAGAAAAAUAACUUAAAAUACACAAGGUAAUAGCAGAGUACACACAAGAAGAAAAGUAAUUGCACUGGAUCACAAGGACAGGGGUGGACAUCUUUCUUAAUGUCCAGUGUCCUUUGUCUUAAGAGUUGGUGCAAUAAGU
rfam:Mesocricetus auratus contig080765, whole genome shotgun sequence.